rnacentral:lncRNA from 1 species
UUCUGCCAACGCUAACUUUUCGCUGGCACGCUGUUGUUUCCCCCACAGAACGGUAAAGACGUAGCCACGUAUUGAUCGGUCGUGUGACUUGACUAGUUUAUAGAAUACACGAUAAAUAAUAUUGAUGAACAAUUGAAUUCUGCAGUCAUUCACACGAGUAAUCUCAGACUGGCAGUAGGAGAACUACCAUCAUCUGGACAGAAGGCUUAACAGUCAGCAUAGCGAGUCAGGAAACAUCCAAAUAUAUUUAGAUCGGCACCAACGUUGAUAGCCUGGCCUACCGAUGGUUACAUUUCAGGAUCCUUCCGACUGUCAGAGUCAAGCUCACACAUUAGCAAUGAAUGUUUUCGUCAUGAUGAAAAAAGACGAAUCGCGUUUGAUACGAAAAGCCAAGCAACUUGUGAAAAAGCGAAGAAAUUUUGCCAGGAAAGUUUUUAUCGAAAAUGUGGAUGGAUGGACGCCUGUUCAUGCCUGCGCUUUACGUGGGUCUAAAAAGUUACUGAAAGUAAUGCUUGGUUCUGGUUUUGAUAUCGACACUCAAAUGGGUCAGCCAGAAGGACUUCCGAACAGCUGCACAUUACUGCACAUAGCUGCCUAUAGAGGUGAUCCGAGUAUUUGUAAAUAUCUUAUUUCCUGUGGGGCCAAAGUAGAUGCCAAAGACAGUUUCGGUCGCACUCCACUAUACUACGCCGCUCGCCAUAACAGUCGCUGUCUACUCAAAUGUUUUGAGAAAACUGGGGCUGACAUAAGUGUUCUCGACAAAUUGCUUCCGAAUUGGCAAUCGGAUAUCUCAAAUGAAUGCAUGACACCUCAAGCAAAGACGGCGACUUUUUGUUUCUUCGGAAAGUGAUCUGUCGAACUGAACAUAUCUGCUGUUAUGUUCAAUUGCGUCCAUCGAAAUGUGAUAUUCGUUUUCCAGACCAAUAAUGUUUUUGUUUUGUAUUUGCAUCAUCAUGCUGACAUGUAGUUAUGAUAAUAACUACCUUAAUUUGUUUAACAAUGCCUUGAAGUGAAUAAUUAAGAAAGUGUGGAUGAGGUGGUUUCUUGGGGUGUUUUCCUUGUUUCGCCUUGUUGACAUGCGCUAUUAUCAUUGGUUUGUCUGUACCCUCUAUCCGGUAUCAUUGCACGUCUAAUGCAGACCUCAUAGAGUAUCGGAGCUGUCUUUGUGUGUCCCCUUUACUAUAGUUGCAGAUUAUAUCAGAUAGUUACUAGUUAAAGGUGCCUCAUAUGCUGUAUGCAUGCGUGUCUGCUACAAAGUGAAUAUCACGUGCUGCGCUCAGUGACGUUAAUUGGGACUGCCUGAUAAUAACACCAAAAUAGAACAAUCACGUGUUUAAAUAAUUGCCAUAAACAUGAAUUGACGGCGACAGGUUAUGACAUUACUAGACGGUGAGAGAAACAGACUAAUCACCAUAUCAAGUCAUCAUAUACCAGCGUUAGGUGUCCAUAAGUAGUAAAAGAAACCACAGCAAAACAUAAAUAUCUAUAUGCUGAAUUGUCGUAUUAAUAAACGUAUAAUAUUCAAGACAGACAAGUGUUGUUAACCAUACAAUCGAACUCAAUGGUCCUUUGCUAUUAGAAAUAAAAAGGAUUCUUUAAUUUGAGGGAAGCGUUAAGGUCCUCGCCAGGGAUAUAUCACGAGAUCCUAAGAUGACAUCAAAAAGAAAGUGUAAAUCUAACAGAAAAAAAGGAAAUUAAAAGUAAUGAAGCAACAAAUACUUUUUUGUGUCUUCAAUGUUCACAAAAGUAGAACACACAGAAUGGAAUAUCCAAUUCUGUCUGUAGAGGGCCUAUUACUCGCCUCUUAUUUACGAAUAAGAUGCAGAGGUUUCCCUUCAAUUCUUGCAUGUUUAAGAAUGUUCCCACAUGAUGAAAUAUAUACCAUAUCUCCUGUGUGGUACGACAUACGUUUUAAAUAAAGGUGUAAUGGAUUACAAAAUGUGUAGGUCUGAAAAAGCAAUAUAUGUUAUAUGUUUCGUUUAUUUCACAUUUAUAUGGAAGCUUAGCCUAGCCAAACUAGCACGUGCAGUAUUGUAACAUAGAGAAGUGACGUUACUCACACUUCGGAGAGGUAUCCGAGUUGACCAAACAAGCCGUCCUCAUGUUAUAAUGUCACAGACCGUGGUACCACAACACUGACCUCGUCUUGUAUCUGUUGGACACAUGUGUGAAUGCAGGAAAUAAUAAAAAAAACUAUCUGAAAUCGA